CAUUUUACCAUGCAAAGAAUUAACUAAUUUUUUUCUAAUAAAAAAAAUGUAGACACAAUAGGUUUUCAAAAAAAAAAAAAAAAGUGAAUGUUACCUUGGUCAAGUGCACUUAACCCAUUAGCUCCUACUGCAGUUCAGAACCUUUUUACAUUAUAUGCAUAACACGGUCUGGAAAAUUUUUUAAACUUUCUUAUAAAAAGAGCUCAUCAUGUCUCCGUUUAAAGCAAGAAAGAAAGCGUGGUAACUUUUUUUUUUUUAGUGAAUACUGGAUGUGUAUUGAAUUUUUAAUAUUUUUUAAAGAAAUUUUAGAACUAACAUACCCGUGGACCCAGUGUAUAAGCCUCUGUG